AGCUGUACCCUCUCUCUCUCAGUGCUCUGAGAGUGUAGGCUCCUUUCCCACUCAAGUGCUGGCUGCAGAUCUGGGUUUGGCACUCCUGGACGUCAUACUGCAGCCCCGGGUCCAAGGACAUCGAGCACAGUACCUUUGCAGUGGCAGUGUCAGAGGGACUUUCAGUUGUCUCUGGGAGCCCCACCUCACAGAAAUGCAGAGCGUCUGCUAAUGCAAGUGUUCAGCCAGAGGGUGAGGUAGCUGUGCCAUGGGCCUGAGCUGGGAGCUCUUCUUGGUGAAGAGUAAAGGGUCAGGGACUCACACGAAAGGGAGACUGAGUUCCUCUCCGUAUGGUGACUGUGGCAUGCUAGAGACAUGAGUAAUGCCCUCAGGCUCUUUGUUCCUUCCCCAGUCCAAAGACAACAAGGUCAAAACCACUGCAGUGGCAGUGGUAAAGGGGCUGUCUGUUGCCACUGGGAACUCCACCCCAGGGAAACACAGAGCCACUGCCAGUGGGAAUGCUUAGUUGGGGGUGGCAUAGCUGCCCUGUAGUCCCAAGCCAGGGGCCUUGCCUGUUGAAGAGUAGGGAGUGAGGCCUCACAGGGAAGACAGACUGGGCUCCUCCCCAUAUGGUGGCUGUGGUGUGCUGGUGGUGCCAGCAAUGCGACCUGGACCUUUGUUCCUUCCCCAGCCCAAAGGCAGUAAGGGCAGUACCACUGCAGCUGCAAUGAGAGGGGCUGUGGGUUGUCUCUGUGAUUUCCUCCCUAGAGAAUGACAGAGCUGCCACUGACUUAAACGUUUGGGCGGGAACAAGGUGGUUGUUCUGGGGGCCCGGGUUGAGAGACCCUGCCCACUGAGGAGUAACAGGGCCAGGGCCCAUGUGGAAGAGGGUCUGCCUUCUUAUCUAAAAAGUAGCUGCACUGUGCUGGAGGAUUGCAUUAGUCCUAAGUCUUUUGGCUCCCUCCUGAGCCUGAGAGAAACAGGAGCAGGAGCUGCAGAGCAGCAAAAAUGGCAGACCUGCCUGCUACAGUUGAGAGCUCUGUCCCAGGGAAGUACAGAUCCCCCAGGGGGAUCUGCUACUGGCCCAAGAGCCCAGACAUGGGUGGGGUGGCUGGAGUCCCAAGUCUGGAGGCCCUGCCCAGUAAGAAGUAGUGGGGACAGAGAUCUAUGUGGAAAAAAGUCUGGCCACUUUUCUGUAAGGCAGCUGUGCUGUGCUGGGGGCCUGCAUUAGUCCUUAAUCACCCUGCCAAGACUGGGGGACCCGUCUGCUACCACUGAGAGCUCCAUUCCAGGGAAAUACAGGGCUGCUAUUGGCCCUAGAGCUCAAGUGAGGCUGGAGUGGCCAUGCUAGGGACCCAGCCCAGUGGGCAUUAUCCAGCAAGGUGCAAUGGAGGUGAGGCCUGCAGUCCAUCUGCUCCUCAGCCCCGUGGAUUUAGCCCCUAUACUGGAGGCAUUCCAGGGAGCCUGACCUCUCUUGUUGCCAGAGCUACAGCCACUGGUGCUGGGGUGCCCAGCAGUCCAAGGGCCCUGGAGCUCCAUGUGUGCCUGAGCAGUGGCUCUGCCUAGACUCCAUGUAGCUCUCCAUGUCAGUCUGCAGGCUCUGCUCAGGGAGGCAGGGGGAUCUUCUGAGCACAGGGUUGUGAAGAUCUGUAGCAGAAGCUUUAGUGAAAUUUCAGACAUUAACAACAAAGUUUCCCUGAUUUAUUUAACUUCUCCUAACUUUCUAUAACCUGAUAUAAAAUGGACAUUUAAUUAUAAAUUACUUGAGUAAAGGUUAAGAUUAAUGAAAAUACUACUCAAGUAACUUAUAAUUAAAUGCCCAUUAUCAUCAUCAGCAUCAUCAUCUAAAGGGGUUAUUGAGUAGGCGUCCAUGGGGUGGUGUGAAAUGACCAGCCCCUAAGCCUUGGUGGCCCAUUAUCUACAGAAGAUAUCACUGGGCACAUUAAAUGUUCCCCAACCUGCUUUCGUUAUCCAAAGGAGCCUUAUUAGACAUGUUUUUCCUCCUUAUUAGUCCCUUCUUGCCUGAAAUGUGAAAUUUUAAUACCACAGAUAUAGUGUUAACUGUUUAUAUAUUUUGGUCCUAUGUAGUGCCACAAACCAUUUUAAUGUCUACUAUCUCCCUACCCUUAAAAACCAAUUCUCAGCCCCUUGGGGGCAAUAUAUCCUCUGUUGAAAAUGCAUGGAACAUUUUAAAGAGGACAAAAGCUGGAACCUCAUUCCUGCCUUUUACUUGAUGUGUGACACUGGAAAACUUCCUUAACCUCUGUCAGCUUGCCCAUGGUCAUCCAGAAAAGGGAACCACUGAGAGCUCAUGAUGCGUUACUUACAGAACUGUCCUGUGGGGUAAAUGAGAAAUCCUAUACAGAGAAGAUGGCACCUAGAGAAAUCCUAUACAGAGAAGAUAGCACCUAGUCUUCAACAUUUGUUGAAGCAUAUGCAUGCUUGUGUAGUUGCUUCUUUCACCUAACAACAGAGCCUUGUUGUUGUUAAACAACAAGGUGGGCCAUCCUGGCCCACUUUUCUUCUCCUUCCCAGAGAAGUGAUGACUGUCAUCUAAACCAAACAGCAUAACUACCACAGAGACCAGCUGGUAAUGGAGCAGGAAGAAGUAGCAUAUACUUACAUUCAGUUUAUAAAUGAAGCUUUGGGGCUAUUUCUGUGAUGCAGGAUGGCUUUGCCAAGGAAUGUGGGAAGAGGGAAAAGAUCAUCAAACCAUUUCUUUAAUUCUGUGUCAUUUUUGCCCCAUUAUUUGAGCUUCUAUACUGAUAUUGGAAAAAUAGUUUCCUAUGGAGUCUCAAAUAAAGAAAGAGUGCAGAUAAAGAGGAGAGAGAAGUCACAUGCCCUUGACCCUCAUACUAUUACCACCUACAGGACUCUGAACCAGAAUUUCAUCUGCACCAGUGGGUAAUUCAAAGUGGGAGGAGUUGUUGAAUGUGUAUCCAUGAGGGCACAAUACUACAAACGUGUAAAACUACUAGGUUUUAAAUCCUAGAAUGUCAUGGUGUAUAAAAUAUUGAUAAUUAUUGCUUUGGUUUUGAAUUAGGGGAAAAUAUAUCCUCGUAUACUUGGAAGCGGCUCCCUCAGUAUCUUUUAUUCUGGAGCUUCAGGGAUAUUCUUCAUUCUAAAUGUAUAUCUCUUUCCUGUGGGUGGGGUCAGGAAUGCUUGAAUGUUCCUGACAAUGUUUUUGUAUAAUUGCAGGAGCAUUUGAUAUUUAUUACAGUUAUAAAUACAUAAGAAAUGAAAUAAACAGCAUUACUCUAAAACAAAAGAGAAUACCUGCUCUCAAAAUAUCUUGAGAGCAUUUCAAAGAGAAUACCUGCUAAUGCUUAUAUCUGUAUAAUAUUCUUUCACAAAUUUUCUUAUGCAGGUACUUAUAAAUUUAUGCAGAAAUGAAUACAUUUAUAUACUUAUCUACAAAAUAUAAGAUCUCAUUCUACAUUUAGUUUUAUAACCUGCUUGUCUCACUAAAACCAUACCUCAAAGGUCAUUGGUUGUGAGUAAAUAUGAGUCUUUACCACAGAGAUAGUAAAUACUAAUGGCCAAUAAAGACAGAGAAACAAAUAUGACUACAAUAUGUUAUGUGCCAAGUGCUUUUUAGCUAUUGAGUCGUUCAAUUCUCACGGCACCCUUACAAGGUUGAAACUGUUGCUGAUCUCCAUUUUGUAGAUGGAAAACUAAGGAGCAGAUAGAAUAAAAAUUUUACCUGAGACUGCACAGUCAGGGAGUGGGACAGCUUGGAUUUAUGUUCAGUACAUCAUGCUCCAGAGCCUGGGAAACUGUCAAGGCUCUGUUGUUAGGUGAAAGAAGCAACUACACAAGCAUGCAUAUUUUAGGAGCUCAUUAAAAGUAAUACGUCACAGGUUAAUACAUUUACACAAAAAACUGGACCUAGUGACAAAUAGGUGGAUUGCAACCUUGGUAAGAUCAUGUUCAUUGCAAUCCUGGGGACAGAAGCCACAGUGCAGGGGGAAGUGAAGAAUUUUAACAGGAAAUGUAGAAAACUCUCUUUGGUAGUUUAACUUUGAAGGGAAAGAGAUGGAGAUUCUGGCUGAAUGGGGAGAUUUUAAAAAAUAAUCAAUUUCUUGAAACUUGAGAAGGUUUUAAAAUGAAGAUACUUAGGGGUUUUGCUAAAUGAGAAGAUUUUAGCUGUUCUUGCCAUGCACAAAAAAAUGGGUAACUAUGUGGUAUUAUGAAUAUAUUUAUUUUCUUCACUAUAUAGUAACUAAUACUUUACUUUCUGUAUGUAUCUUAGAACAUCAUGUUGCAUAUCUUAAAUAUAGACGAUAAAUGUAUUUUUAAAAGUUAACGUGAUGAAGCUAUCUUAUCUCAGAUUUAACACUAGAAAUUGCUCGUUUUUUUUUUUUUUUUUUUUUUUUUUUUUGGCUGGAGUACAGUGUCGCGAUCAUGGUUCACUGCAGCUUCAACCUCCUGGGGCUCCUGUGAUCCUCCCAGCUCAGCUUCCCGAGUAGCUGGGACCACAGGUGCAUAUCAACACACCCAGUUAAUUUUUUUUGUUGUUUAUUUUUGUAGAGACGGGAGUCUUUUUAGGUUGCCCAGGCUGGUCUCGGACUCCUGGGCCCAAGUGAUCCUCCCAUCUUGACCUCUUAAUGUGCUGGGAUUAUAGGUGUGAGCCACUUCACCCAGCACAUUUCCUUUCUUACGCUCUUAUUUUCACUUUAGAGCUCAUGAGAGGCCUCUAAUCGACUAGUAUGAGUUUUGAGCUAAAUACAUAUUUAGUUAUUAGUGAGAAAAUGGACAAUGGGCAAUUGUGAGUCAAAUAAAUGCUAAAUUUUUGCCUCUCCAAGAAGGCAGCAGGUGGCUGAAAUCCUGGUGUGAUAUGGCUGAAUAAUGCAUGAUCUGAGGACCCUGUACUGGUUACUCCUGUACACGUUCACAAUUUUUCUAUAAAUGUAUUAAUAUACUGAGCAGUCCAGGAGCAGCCAUUAGGCAAACACCACUCCUUGCUUCCUUCAUGUGACCUAUCACUGAGCUCACCAGCUGAGGUCAAUUACAUUCUUCCCAACCUGGAGAACAGAAUUUGGGUCUGCUCAGAGGCAUGAUGUGAAACAUGUCUGGGAUAAAAGCUUUGUUCUAUUGACAGCAAACCUUUUUGGGUUAAGGGGUAGGGGAAGAGCAAGUGAAGGAUGCAGAUUAGUUUCUAUUUAGGAAUAUACUUUUAUAUAUUGUUUGAAAUUUUGUCAUAAAAAUAUUCAUACAAAUUUAAGCAAAAAAUUACUUGUGAACAGAUUGACAAAUGUCAUGUGCACACAUAUUUAUUAAUUUGAAAAAGCAUUCACUGUGUUAAAUUUAUGGUGAAAUAAAGUUGAUUAAACUUUGA